GUUUGGAUCAUGUUUAUUUGUCUUUAUUUUUAUAUAUUUCACUACAGUAACAAUGACGUGAUUAUCAUUUCAACAUAUCGUUAGACUACUUGCUAAGUGUUAUAGGCCUAUAACCUCAAAAUAAUAUGAGACAAGGCAUAAGAGCAUCAGUGUCAGAUUAUAUGAUUAUCAUUUCAGCAAGUUGCUAAUUACUAAUUGUCACAUGUUAUCCUGAGAUCAUAUAGCCUAACACCAGCAUCAGUCAGACAUUGACGCUGACUCAUAUUUGGCUUCAUCCAUGCCUUCACUAGAAUUAGCCAAGCACGUUAAUUAGGAGUAGCCUAUCCGAAUACAUAAACAAAUACAUAUAAUCUGACAAAUAUGGCCUAUAAGCAUGCGAACUAUUAACAGGUUCAUUUGUUGAUAUCCGGGGGAAAUCCAGUCUAAUGGUUCUCAAGCGUUUCAGAGCACUCCGCCUGCAUGUGUACGACACAUUAUAUCAACAGCGCCAGUCGAGCCUGUCGGGCUCCGCAGCUCAUGUCAACAGCCAAUUCAUCAGCCGGCUGAUUACAGCGUGCUGCGAGC
rnacentral:lncRNA from 1 species